rnacentral:rRNA from 1 species
GUGACUGCGUACCUUUUGUAUAAUGGGUCAGCGACUUAUAUUCUGUAGCAAGGUUAACCGUAUAGGGGAGCCGGAGGGAAACCGAGUCUUAACCGGGCGUUAAGUUGCAGGGUAUAGACCCGAAACCCGGUGAUCUAGCCAUGGGCAGGUUGAAGGUUGGGUAACACUAACUGGAGGACCGAACCGACUAAUGUUGAAAAAUUAGCGGAUGACCUGUGGCUGGGGGUGAAAGGCCAAUCAAACCGGGAGAUAGCUGGUUCUCCCCGAAAGCUAUUUAGGUAGCGCCUCGUGAAUUCAUCUCCGGGGGUAGAGCACUGUUUCGGCUAGGGGGCCAUCCCGGCUUACCAACCCGAUGCAAACUGCGAAUACCGGAGAAUGUUAUCACGGGAGACACACGGCGGGUGCUAACGUCCGUCGUGAAGAGGGAAACAACCCAGACCGCCAGCUAAGGUCCCAAAGUCAUGGUUAAGUGGGAAACGAUGUGGGAAGGCCCAGACAGCCAGGAUGUUGGCUUAGAAGCAGCCAUCAUUUAAAGAAAGCGUAAUAGCUCACUGGUCGAGUCGGCCUGCGCGGAAGAUGUAACGGGGCUAAACCAUGCACCGAAGCUGCGGCAGCGACACUGUGUGUUGUUGGGUAGGGGAGCGUUCUGUAAGCCUGCGAAGGUGGCCUGUGAGGGUUGCUGGAGGUAUCAGAAGUGCGAAUGCUGACAUAAGUAACGAUAAAGCGGGUGAAAAGCCCGCUCGCCGGAAGA